UACGGGGGGGGCAAGCGUUGUUCGGAAUUACUGGGCGUAAAGGGCGCGUAGGCGGCCUUCUAAGUCGGACGUGAAAUCCCUCGGCUCAACCGAGGAACUGCGUCUGAUACUGGAAGGCUUGAAUCCGGGAGAGGGAUGUGGAAUUCCAGGUGUAGCGGUGAAAUGACGUAGAUAUCUGGAGGAACACCAGUGGCGAAGGCGGCAUCCUGGACCGGCAUUGACGCUGAGGCGCGAAAGCUAGGGGAGCAAACGGGG
rnacentral:rRNA from 1 species